CGCGUAGGUGGUUCGAUCAGUCGGAGGUGAAAGCCCUCGGCUCAACCGAGGAUCCGCGUCCGAUACUGUCGAACUUGAGUGCAGGAGAGGAGAGCGGAAUUCCCAGUGUAGCGGUGAAAUGCGUAGAUAUUGGGAGGAACACCGGUGGCGAAGGCGGCUCUCUGGACUGCCACUGACGCUGAGGCGCGAAAGCGUGGGGAGCAAACGGGAUUAGAUACCCCGGUAGUCCACGCCAUAAACGAUGACGACUAGGUGUGGGGUGGUUCAGUCCACUCCGUGCCGCAGCUAACGCAUUAAGUCGUCCGCCUGGGGAGUACGGCCGCAAGGUUGAA
rnacentral:rRNA from 1 species